GCUUACGGCCAUACCACCCUGAACGCGCCCGAUCUCGUCUGAUCUCGGAAGCCACGCAGGGUCGGGCCUGGUCAGUACUUGGACGGGAGACCGCCUGGGAAUACCAGGUGCUGUAAGCU
ensembl:rRNA 5S_rRNA 5S ribosomal RNA